rnacentral:tRNA from 1 species
GGCUUUGAAUGCUCAGUGGUAGAGUGCUUGUCUAGCAUACAUGAGGCCCUGGGUUUGAUCUCCAGCAGUACCA